rnacentral:rRNA from 1 species
CCUACGGGAGGCAGCAGUGGGGAAUAUUGGACAAUGGGGGGAACCCUGAUCCAGCCAUGCCGCGUGUGUGAAGAAGGCCCUCGGGUUGUAAAGCACUUUCAGUGAGGAAGAACGCCUGAUGGUUAAUACCCAUCAGGAAAGACAUCACUCACAGAAGAAGCACCGGCUAACUCCGUGCCAGCAGCCGCGGUAAUACGGAGGGUGCGAGCGUUAAUCGGAAUUACUGGGCGUAAAGCGCGCGUAGGUGGCUUGAUAAGCCGGUUGUGAAAGCCCCGGGCUCAACCUGGGAACGGCAUCCGGAACUGUCAAGCUAGAGUGCAGGAGAGGAAGGUAGAAUUCCCGGUGUAGCGGUGAAAUGCGUAGAGAUCGGGAGGAAUACCAGUGGCGAAGGCGGCCUUCUGGACUGACACUGACACUGAGGUGCGAAAGCGUGGGUAGCAAACAGGAUUAGAUACCCCAGUAGUC